GAAAUGCGAUAAUUAAUGUGAAUUGCAGAAUUCAGUGAAUCAUCGAGUCUUUGAACGCACAUUGCGCCCCCUGGUAUUCCGGGGGGCAUGCCUGUCCGAGCGUCAUUGCUGCCCUCAAGCACGGCUUGUGUGUUGGGCUUCCGUCCCUGGCAACGGGGACGGGCCCAAAAGGCAGUGGCGGCACCAUGUCUGGUCCUCGAGCGUAUGGGGCUUUGUCACCCGCUCCCGUAGGUCCAGCCGGCAGCUAGCCUCGCAACCAAUCUUUUUAACCAGGUUGACCUCGGAUCAGGUAGGGAUACCCGCUGAACUUAAGC
rnacentral:misc_RNA from 1 species